rnacentral:lncRNA from 1 species
GAAAGGAUGGAGAAAACAAGAAAAAGGGUUCCUUAACGGUUGUUCUGAAAGUUUAUUGUCUUUGUAAAGAUUGUAUCUCCCAAAUCCUCAGCAUGGAUAAACUCGAAGGUAUAAUCAUUUUUUUAGGUUUAAGAUUUCCUUUUUUGUUACUUGGUCUUUCCUCUUUUUUUUUUUUCUUCAUUUUUUUCUCAGAUUUUUCGAUCAUUUUCAGCUUUUGUUAUUUACUCUGUAUUGCUCUGUCGUUUUCCUUCUUUUGCAGGCGUGGAGACGGUAAUUAUAGAGAGCAGCUCAAAAAAAGUGACAGUGAUAGGAGCUGUGGAACCGACAGCCAUUAAAGAGAAACUCGUGAAGAAAACCAAGAAAAAAGUUGACCUCAUUUCUCCUCAACCAAAGAAAGAUGAUAACAAAAAAGAGAAAACAGAGAAAAAACCUGACAAAGAGAAAAACAAGGAUUCUGAUAAUAAACGGGACAAAAAACCCAAAGAGGUAAAAUUUUCAUUUCAUUCUCAAAUUUUAAUCUUUCCGGCAGUCAAAUAACUGUUUUUGCAUGUUGGUUUUGAAGUGCUUUCAAAUCAACGUAUCUGUCUAAAAUUUAUUGCUUCCUUUUUGUUGUUUACGUGACACCCGAAUCGGGAUUAUCUAGAGUUAUGACACGAUAUAUAUGAGUUUGAAAUUUAAAUUCAAAUUUAUGAAAUUUUUUUAUGAUAUAAAAUUAUAAAAUUUUUAGAUUACAAUAGAUAAUAUUUCAUAGGUUCAGUGUUGGUUUUUACAUAUAAUAUUAGUAUAGUCUUCAAUUAUAUGGGAGUUAAGUGUUGUAUUGUGAAAAUCACUUUUUGAAUUUUGUAGGAGUUAAAUGCUACACGAUGAGAAUCACCUUUAAAAUCUUAAUUUUGGUGUGAUCUUGUGAUCAGUGUAUGCUUUGUGUUGGGCUUAUCAAAUAUUUGAUAUAAUUCGGUGAAUUUGUGUGUUUUUGUAUUGAGUUUAACAUAAAUGUAAAACUUUAAUAUGAGAGUUUAUAAUAACCCAAUUUCAUAUUGAGAUGCUUUGAUGAUCUGUUAUAAUAUAUAUGUAGAGACUUAAAUUUAAAUUUGUAAGGUACUUUUUAUGAGAUAAACUAUGAGACCUUCAUAUCAGAAUGGAUAAUACUUUAAAAGUUGGAUGUAUGUAUUCACAAAUGGUAUCAAAGUCAGGUUAUUAGUUUAACGCGAUAAUCUAAAGUUUUAUUAUGAUAUAUAUAUAUAUAUAUAUAUAUAUAGAGAGAGAUCUAAAUCUAAAAAUUUGUAAGAUGUUUUUUGUGAGAUAAAAUAAUGAAACAUUCAAGUCAAAAUGAAUAAUACUUAACAGGUUGGAUACGGGUCUACGUUAUGAUUAUUUAAAAUUUUGUUAUGAUAUAUAAGUUUAGAUUUAAAUUUAAAUUUGUGAGGUAUUUUUUGUAAGAUAAAAUCAUAAAAUCUUUGGAUCAAAAUGAAUAAUACUUCACAGGUUGUGUGUAAGUUUUCGUAAUUUAAGUAAAAAAAAAUAUAUUAUUUUUUAAUUUUUUCUAUUUGAAAUAAUUUAAUUUAAGUUGGUUAUUUAUUAUCAUUGUUUAGGCCUCGGUGAUGACAGUCGAUUUGAAGGUGCAGCUGAAAUGCCAAUGCCAGGGAUGCAUUGAUAAGAUUAGCAAAAUUGUCGAUAAAACCAAAGGUAUUGACUUUAUCAUUGCAUUAGCUAGCAUAGAUUUUUAUUGUUCCCUUACUCCAACGGCGUUGAAAUCUUGUUUUAGUUUUUGACUUUUUAAAUUUUUGAUGGCUUUACAGGAGUGCAUGGCUUCAAAAUAGACAAGGAGAAAGAGCUGAUAACAGUUAAGGGGACUAUGGAUGUUAAGGCCUUGGCUGAUGCUUUGAAGGACAAACUCAAGAAUGUUGAGAUUGUGCCACCUAAGAAAAAGAAAGAUGGCAACAAUGAGGGUGGCAAGAAUGGCGACAACAACAACAAGAAGAAGAACAAAGGUGGCAAUGGUGGUGGAGAGGGUGGAAAUAAGGUUAAUGCUAGUGCUAAUAGCAUUAGAGAUAUAAAUGACAUAUCAAUACUUCCAAAUUAUUCGAAUUCAAUUAGGAUAAAAUUUGAAUUUGGUUCGAUCAUUUUUGAGUCAAGCUCUAAAGUUCAAAAAUUUUAAUUCUCGACUCGAGUGAAUAGUUUUCGAAUGUAAUCUAACUUUUAUAUUUUUAUUUGUAAUAUUUUAAUUAGUAAUUUAUUAUGUUACCUUAAUAUAUUUAACCUAUAAAACCUUAAUUUUUUUUUCAUUUUAUUGUUUCUCUCUCAAUCCCUGUCUUUACCAUCCCACAAAAAAAUACACUAUGGUGCCCCUUCCUCUCAAUCUCUCCCAAUCCUUUUCGACGCCUAUGUAGUAGCCAACUAAACAUCUUCUUGACGUUGGAUUAGUCUUUCUCGCUCCCCUGAUCCCAAGCUAACCGUGCCCUUUUUCCUCUCACUCUCUCCCAAUCAUUUAUGGGUUAGUCCCUCCAGAUAAUUUUUUAUAACUUUUUUAGUAUUUUGGAUGCUUCUUAUGUUUCCAAACGGGACACUUUGAUAGUAAAAUUUACCAACCUUGCAAUUUGUUCUAAUGGUAUAAGGAAUUUGUAAUCCAAUGGGUCUCUAUUUUUUUUUAAUUGUUUUCACAGUCGAUGUUCUAUCAAUUUCUCAGAUGUAAUGUGAUUGAAUUUCUGUGCUUUAUCUAUUCUAAUUUAGUUUGUAUCAUACUUUUAUUCCAUAUGUUGGCUAUAUGUUAGGUGGACACCUUAGCUACAGUUUUCUUCUGUUGUAAACGUCUAUUUUAUAUUAAUAAAAGUCUUGAUUUAGAACAAAAAAACCUUAAAUUUGAGUUACCUUAUUUGAUGGGUGUAAGUAAGAGUCCAAUGUUUUAGACAUCAAAAAUGGUUUAGGAUACCAACAAGAGUCAAUCAAAAUAUUAAUUGUGUGAGCUUAAAAGUAUGAUCUCGAUUGAUGUGAUUUUUGUAUAAGUCAAAUUUUCUAUUUUAACAUAGUUUAUUCCCAACCUUGUUAACACUUUACUAACAAAAUACACCAAUCUCUUCUUUUUUUCUUUUUUCUUGACUAAUAUUGAGUUGAUAUCUUGAUCGGUUGUAGCCAUGUAUAAAUAUAAUACCUCAUUAGAUUUUGGCUUAGAGAGAAUAAGAAGGGAGGAAAUAAACUAUUUUAGCUCUUCAAAUGCUUGUUAACACUAGUUCUAGAAGAUUUUGAAAAAUGAUAUGCAUCGUUUUAUUGACCUAAAUAUGAAUCUGUUUAAGGCAGCUAUUCUCUCAAUUAAUCUUUACACCUCUGUAAUUGUGAUCGAUGUUUUUAUGUCCAAAAUAGCUUAUACCUUUUCAAGGUUUGCUUUUAUUUCCUUUUUAUUGAUCAUAUAAUCAAGAAAGUUACCCGAUGUAACAUCAUAUCGCAUUUGCUCAAGUUUAGACUCAUGUUGUAUUUGCUUAGGGUAUUGAAAGCCUCCUUCAGAUAUUUUAAGUGUUUGGUCGGGCUUUGCUUUUCACUAUUCCAUAUACAUCUCUAUAUUUUUAAAGAUCUUAUUAACCAGCCUUUAGUAAAUUGCUCUUGCAUUUUUCAAUUCAAAGGCAUUACCUUGUAACAGUACAAACCUUAAUUUUGUUAUAAAGACUAUUUUUUUACUCAUCUUCUUUUAUUAUCUUAAUAUAAUUAUAACCCAAGUAGGCGUCCAAGAAAUUGAGCAAGCCAUAUUCAACGCUAACAUCAACCAAUUGAUUUAUAUUAAGUAAAGAAAAGUUGUCUUUCAAACAGAUUCUGUUGAAAUCGGUAAAAUCAAUGCACAUUCUUCAUUUUUUACUGUACUUUUUUACCAUCACCAAUGCCUACCUAUCACCAAAUUCAAUGUGUUUACCAAUUAAACUUUUCUGGUUUGUAGUUUGCACUCAGUGUUUGCAGCCUCAUGAGGCUGACUUCUUUUAUCAUAAAAGUUUCAGAUAGAAUUUAUACCCUGUUUCUAUAAUCUGACUGAAACUUGAUUGGUGAGUAUACAUAUAUCUGAUAUCAAAAUUCUAAAGUAGCAACAAAUUAUAACAAUAAAUCUACGUGUAAGUUGCCAAAUCAGGUGAAGUAUUAUUUUCAUUUUCCAUGAACUGUGCAGCCAUAUGGGAAAAUUGCUAAGAAUAAUACUGCUAUAUAGGAUGUAUAGGAGUUAUACAAAUGAGAAACGUCAGGAUUGAGCAAUUUUGAUCUUUCAAGUAUACUAAAUGUAAAAGGAAAGGUCUCAAAGUAGGAAACCAUGAGAGAAAUGUACUUUGAAUGAUUCUGUGAAUGUGCAAGUGCAAAGCUUUGCCCACUAUGGUUUCAGCAAAAGGUUGGUAAGUGAUGACUGAGGCAAAUGAAUCACCUACCAAAUUAUUCCACGAAAUUGGCCUAUGAACCUGUGAUAUACGCCGUGACUUUUUGUAUGUCGCUAUUAGGUGUCCUGAGCCUGAAGACAUUGGUUAGCCAAUUUUGUUGCUUUCCUGGUUAGGAAAUAGCAAAAGGCUUUGUUUUUGUCCGAUUAUCAAGACAGGAUGAGCAAUGCAGCAUUUCCAGGAAUGUACACAGGCUCUUCCCAGUCCCCGUGCUGAAGUUUUUACACCUUAGUAAAAGGGACACACCAGCCACCAGGGUAGUGUGCAAAAAGGCAAUGCUUCAUGUUGGAUGUUGCCGUCAAACUUGUUGUAAGCUUUGGCACAAUUGGAUACUGUUAAAUAUUACUAACUAAAUUAUCUAAAUAAAAAAAUCAGUAAAUGGGAAAUAUGGUAAAGACAGGAUCAGGAUGAGCAAGUAGUUUUUUUUCUUUAAUCAAAUGUUUGCUUGGCAAUAUUGAGCUUCAUUAGAAAAAUCCUUGAUUUCUUUUUUCUUUGGACUAUAAAAAGGACUACAUUUUUGCCAUUGAUAUAUACUCCUAUUACUUUAGUCAAUGUUUCCGUUUUCCAAGUAGUUUCCUUGUGCGAACAUAAUCAUUUUCAAUGGAACUCAUCAUGCAGUGUAACGUGGACUUGACCCUUUUUCCUCAAGCCAAAAAGCAAAAAGCCCCUAACCUAUUUUGCAUGUGCACCUGUAAAAUCAUGACGUGGGUUGUGCGCAAGUACAUGAAUUCCAUCAUGAUGAUGGUUCAAUGUCCUAUGCAUGCAGCAGCACAACCAUGCUCUCAAUCUCCCAUUUACCUUUGUCUGAUCCCUUUGUGAAAUUAAGGGGAACUAGCAGUAUACAAAGUCACAAACAACACCAAUAACACUUGUCAAUAUCAAAUUUUGGUAAGAAUCUAAUCUUUUCAAAACUAUAGUGUUGCUAAUAGUAAUUCCAGAUUUUCUUAGUUUGCUAAUCAGGAGGAAAGUAACAUGUGUCAGCCUGUUAGUAGAAAAGAAAUAAAACAAAAAUAGAGCUUUAUAAAAUGAAGGAUUAUUCAACCUAUCUUCCAAAAAAAUCCAACCUCAUUUGAAAAAUGAAUAAAUGUUGACUAGCGAGAAAGUGGGAUUAUGUAUAAAACACUUGUCUACUUCCAACUUUCUGAAUAAGAUUCUUUAACAACGUAAAGAAAAGAAAAGAGUGAUUUAAUUUAAUGGAUGAAUGGAGGGUGUUCUUGAUUCCUUGCAAUCUCAACAUGACAAUAAGAAAAACAAAAUUACUAUAAUAUUCCAAAUAUCCAUGUGAUCAAAGGGGUCUUUUGAAUCCUUUUGAAGGAUGUGAUCAUUGCAUGAGCUCAAUCCCAUGUGAGUACAAGUAGACUAUAUCAAAAAGUGGAUUAAAGAAAAAAAAAGCUUUGUUUUUGAUGAGUAUAUAUGAAAUUUUGCCCAAGACAUAAGGAAGAGAGAAAAGAGAUAAAAAAAAUAAAGAACAAAAAUGUUUAACUUUCUUUAUUUUUGAUACUUUUAUUUUGAGAUAUAUAGCAAAUGGCUAAGACCUUUAUACAAUAUAACUUUUGAUAAAUUCAAAAUUAAUAUUACUAUUUAUUAUCCUGAUGCAUUUUUACUUUAUUCCCGAGGUGGAGUCUGCCUGCAUAUACUAGUAUAUAUUCAUCGAUACAAACUCCUUUGGUAUAUUAUAUUACGUGGAAGAAUCCAUUGGUCAUGAUGAUUCAAGAAACUUUUUGACGGGCUUUACUUGUUUGGGACUAUGUUCAGAGCAAUAAUUGCUCACUCAACUUAUUAAAAUGAAAUUGUUAUUAUUAGAUUAUGAAUUAUUGAGCUAAGAUUGAUUGAUGUGUAUAGUAAACAAACAACUUGUUCCAUGAUGUGUCGGAAUCAUGUUUUGGAAAGUAAUGCAACGAAAGAUGCUUUUUUUUGCUUUGGUGGUGGAAUUUUCCAAAGCUUAUCUUUUACCCUUUUUUCCUAAAUUCCAUCCCACCAUUGCCUGAGAAAUGUCCUUCAAUUGUAUGUUGGUAGGGUUUAGCUCAACUUUUUUUUUUCUUAUUUUUUAUCUUGGGGUGUGACCUGUCCGGUUGAAUUUUAAUUUUGGGCUUACCUUGGGUCAAAGGAGCAUCAUGAUAAGCAUGAAUUUUCUUGUGUGUCGGUCUAAUCAUCUUUGGCCAUUUAUAGAAGAAAUAGCAAGCUUAAUAAACUAAGACUAUGGAGUCAACUUGUUUAAGGUAAUCCAAAGCAUAAUUUAUCAACAUGGGAAUUCGAAGACUCACUGACGUUCAGCUAAAUAAGUGUCACUAUAACAGUUCAAAAACUAAACGAAAAAAUGCCAUUUUUAUCAUUGGAUUACAUAAGGAUUCAUAGAAUUUUAGUUUGAUCCAGAGUAAAUCAAAAACAGAGAAAGUACUAUAAAAAGAGUUUUAGUUCCAACUUCCAAGUUAAUUAAUAUAGUUGUAGUAGUUUCCCACCUGGCUUCCUCACACGUUGAACUUGAAGGCAUCUGAUUCUAUCGUUACUUCUUCAUCCACUGCUCAUGAUGACAAGACAAUGAGAGACCCAAAUAGCUGUACCCAAAUGGGCUUUGCCAACAAUUUAAUAGUGCUCCUUAAAAAUGUGAAGCACAGUCUUUACUCAAAUUGCUCAAUUAACUUUCCAGGCCUGGGUUUGGUUCCUGUUGGGCCAAUGAGCCCAGAAAACUUAAAGUUGGGAGUUGGGUGGGUUUCCACAAAAAUCAAGGCCACCAUUUGCCUAAAAAAUUCUUUGCUCAUGGUCAUGGGCCAUGCUCCCUCUUAAUUUUAAGCCAAGUUUCUUAGCUACUCAAAUAAUAUGAAUUUCACUGGGAUUUUCGGGGCAAGAGCAAGAGUGGUUCUAUGAAACUAUUGUAUUAAAAUUAAAGAGAAAAAAAAAAAAAAUGAAGGGUACAGUACUGUCCAAGAGAACUUAAGUGCCUUGAGUUAGGUGGUUGUGAUGGUAGUGGAGUAAUAAGGCGUGAGAACCAUCUGCUCUGCAUAAUGGACAGAUAGAAACAGCCAAGAACCUCCAAUCUCCCCCCCCCCCCCCCUCUUCCCCUUUAAACCCCACCACAUUAGUACCCCACUCUUUGCUUAGAAGUUGGACCAUUACCUUAGUCAAGCCGCCCCCCAUUACACGCGUUUAAACCAUCCACGCAUCUAUACAUGCAUCAUCCAUUGCCAUCAGCACUUCACUUUACUUUGCCAUCUCCUCUAUAAACACCCCGACUCUACUCAUUUAUAUUUCCUCCUAGUUCCACUCAUCACAAAGCCAAUUAACUUUACGGAUUUUGGCUCACAAUGGGAAAGGUCAGUUAGCAAAUACUCUCCCCUAUUUCUCUGUCUCUUUUUUGUUUUAUUUUUGGUUGCUAAUAUAUGAUAUAUAUAUAUAUAUAUAUAUGGGUUGUUCUUCGUCUAUGUUGCAGAAAAAGAAUAGAAACAAGAAAGAAGGGGAUGGAGAAAAGAACGAAGGGGUUUCCUCAGCCGUUGUUCUGAAAGUUUAUUGUCUUUGUGACGGUUGUGCCUCCCAAAUCCUCAAAUGCAUUCAUAAACUCGAAGGUAUAAUCUUUUUUUUUUUGGUUUCAUUUUUUCCACAGAUUUUUUAAGCAUUUUCAGCCUUUGUUGUUUACUCUGUUUAGCUCUGUCGUUGUUUUCCUUUAUUUGCAGGCGUGGAGACGGUAACAAUAGAGAGCAGCUCAAACAAAGUGACAGUGAUAGGAGCUGUGGAACCGACAGCUGUUAAAGAGAAACUCGUGAAGGAAACCAAGAAGAAAGUUGAUCUCAUUUCUCCUCAACCAAAGAAAGAUGAUAACAAAGAAGAGAAAACAGAGAAAAAACCUGACAAAGAGAAAAACCAGGAUUCUGAUAAUAAACCGGAUAAAAAACCCAAAGAUGUAAAAUUUUCAUUUCUCACUCUCAAAUUUUAAUUUCUUUCCGACAGUCAACUAACUGUUUUUGCAUGUUGCUUUUGAAGUGCUUUCCAAUCAACAUAUCUGCCCAAAAUUUAUUGCUUCCUUUCUUGUUGUUUUAAGUAAAAAACUAUUUUUUUCAUCUUUUCUAUUUGGAAUAAUUUAAUAAAAGCUUAUU